AGCGAACGCUGGCGGCAGGCCUAACACAUGCAAGUCGAACGAACUCUUCGGAGUUAGUGGCGGACGGGUGAGUAACACGUGGGAACGUGCCUUUUGGUUCGGAAUAACUCAGGGAAACUUGUGCUAAUACCGAAUGUGCCCUUCGGGGGAAAGAUUUAUCGCCAUUAGAGCGGCCCGCGUCUGAUUAGCUAGUUGGUGAGGUAAAGGUUCACCAAGGCGACGAUCAGUAGCUGGUCUGAGAGGAUGACCAGCCACACUGGGACUGAGACACGGCCCAGACUCCUACGGGAGGCAGCAGUGGGGAAUCUUGCGCAAUGGGCGAAAGCCUGACGCAGCCAUGCCGCGUGAAUGAUGAAGGUCUUAGGAUUGUAAAAUUCUUUCACCGGGGACGAUAAUGACGGUACCCGGAGAAGAAGCCCCGGCUAACUUCGUG
rnacentral:rRNA from 1 species